UACGAAGGGGGCUAGCGUUGUUCGGAAUUACUGGGCGUAAAGGGCUUGUAGGUGGCCAACUAAGUCAGACGUGAAAUCCCUCAGCUUAACUGGGGAACUGCGUCUGAUACUGGAUGGCUUGAGUUUGGGAGAGGGAUGCGGAAUUCCAGGUGUAGCGGUGAAAUGCGUAGAUAUCUGGAGGAACACCGGUGGCGAAGGCGGCAUCCUGGACCAACACUGACACUGAGGAGCGAAAGCCAGGGGAGCAAACGGG
rnacentral:rRNA from 1 species